GUGGAUGCACAGUAGGACAUUAGAUACUACAAAUGAUUCAAUACAAAGUUUUGGUAAGGCUUUUGAAGAAGGUCUUGGAAAGCAUAAAAUGCAUCCUAUUCGUUUUAUCAUUGAUACUAGUGUGCUCCAGUAUCCUAUAAAGUCACGCCAAGUUGCAUGUGUCCUGAAAUGCAGACAUUACUCAUCUUGUGGCACAAUGCAUUCUGGUACCAGUCAUUCUUGCCACGUGAGGUCCAUGCACUGACUAUAAAUCUAUCAUAAUCAAAGUAUUGCUGGAAAAUCCACAGCAAAUCCCAG